rnacentral:rRNA from 1 species
UACGUAGGGUGCAAGCGUUAAUCGGAAUUACUGGGCGUAAAGCGUGCGCAGGCGGUUUUGCAAGACAGAUGUGAAAUCCCCGGGCUCAACCUGGGAACUGCAUUUGGGACUGGAAGGCUAGAGUAUGGCAGAGGGGGGUGGAAUUCCACGUGUAGCAGUGAAAUGCGUAGAGAUGUGGAGGAACACCGAUGGCGAAGGCAGCCCCCUGGGCCUAUACUGACGCUCAUGCACGAAAGCGUGGGGAGCAAACAGG